GAUGAACGCUGGCGGCGUGCCUAAUACAUGCAAGUAGAACGCUGAAGGAAGGAGCUUGCUCUUUCCGGAUGAGUUGCGAACGGGUGAGUAACGCGUAGGUAACCUGCCUGGUAGCGGGGGAUAACUAUUGGAAACGAUAGCUAAUACCGCAUAACAGUAGAUGUUGCAUGAUAUCUACUUAAAAGGUGCAAUUGCACCACUACCAGAUGGACCUGCGUUGUAUUAGCUAGUUGGUGAGGUAACGGCUCACCAAGGCGACGAUACAUAGCCGACCUGAGAGGGUGAUCGGCCACACUGGGACUGAGACACGGCCCAGACUCCUACGGGAGGCAGCAGUAGGGAAUCUUCGGCAAUGGACGGAAGUCUGACCGAGCAACGCCGCGUGAGUGAAGAAGGUUUUCGGAUCGUAAAGCUCUGUUGUAAGAGAAGAACGAGUGUGAGAGUGGAAAGUUCACAAUGUGACGGUAGCUUACCAGAAAGGGACGGCUAACUACGUG
rnacentral:rRNA from 1 species